rnacentral:rRNA from 1 species
GUGGGGAAUCUUGCGCAAUGGGCGAAAGCCUGACGCAGCCAUGCCGCGUGAAUGAUGAAGGUCUUAGGAUUGUAAAAUUCUUUCACCGGGGACGAUAAUGACGGUACCCGGAGAAGAAGCUCCGGCUAACUUCGUGCCAGCAGCCGCGGUAAUACGAAGGGGGCUAGCGUUGCUCGGAAUUACUGGGCGUAAAGGGCGCGUAGGCGGACAGCUUAGUCAGAGGUGAAAGCCCAGGGCUCAACCUUGCAAUUGCCUUUGAUACUGGCUGUCUUGAGUUUGGGAGAGGUGAGUGGAACUCCGAGUGUAGAGGUGAAAUUCGUAGAUAUUCGGAAGAACACCAGUGGCGAAGGCGACUCACUGGCCCAAUACUGACGCUGAGGCGCGAAAGCGUGGGGAGCAAACAGGAUUAGAUACCCCAGUAGUCC